rnacentral:tRNA from 5 species
GGUGGGGUUCCCGAGCGGCCAAAGGGAGCAGACUGUAAAUCUGCCGUCAUCGACUUCGAAGGUUCGAAUCCUUUCCCCACCACCA